GUCUGGAAAGGCGCGCGAUACAGGGUGACAGCCCCGUACACAAAAAUGCACAUAUUGUGAGCUCGAUGAGUAGGGCGGGACACGUGGUAUCCUGUCUGAAUAUGGGGGGACCAUCCUCCAAGGCUAAAUACUCCUGACUGACCGAUAGUGAACCAGUACCGUGAGGGAAAGGCGAAAAGAACCCCGGCGAGGGGAGUGAAAAAGAACCUGAAACCGUGUACGUACAAGCAGUGGGAGCCUCUUUAUGGGGUGACUGCGUACCUUUUGUAUAAUGGGUCAGCGACUUAUAUUCUGUAGCAAGGUUAACCGAAUAGGGGAGCCGAAGGGAAACCGAGUCUUAACUGGGCGUUAAGUUGCAGGGUAUAGACCCGAAACCCGGUGAUCUAGCCAUGGGCAGGUUGAAGGUUGGGUAACACUAACUGGAGGACCGAACCGACUAAUGUUGAAAAAUUAGCGGAUGACUUGUGGCUGGGGGUGAAAGGCCAAUCAAACCGGGAGAUAGCUGGUUCUCCCCGAAAGCUAUUUAGGUAGCGCCUCGUGAAUUCAUCUCCGGGGGUAGAGCACUGUUUCGGCAAGGGGGUCAUCCCGACUUACCAACCCGAUGCAAACUGCGAAUACCGGAGAAUGUUAUCACGGGAGACACACGGCGGGUGCUAACGUCCGUCGUGAAGAGGGAAACAACCCAGACCGCCAGCUAAGGUCCCAAAGUCAUGGUUAAGUGGGAAACGAUGUGGGAAGGCCCAGACAGCCAGGAUGUUGGCUUAGAAGCAGCCAUCAUUUAAAGAAAGCGUAAUAGCUCACUGGUCGAGUCGGCCUGCGCGGAAGAUGUAACGGGGCUAAACCAUGCACCGAAGCUGCGGCAGCGACACUAUGUGUUGUUGGGUAGGGGAGCGUUCUGUAAGCCUGUGAAGGUGGCCUGUGAGGGUUGCUGGAGGUAUCAGAAGUGCGAAUGCUGACAUAAGUAACGAUAAAGCGGGUGAAAAGCCCGCUCGCCGGAAGACCAAGGGUUCCUGUCCAACGUUAAUCGGGGCAGGGUGAGUCGACCCCUAAGGCGAGGCCGAAAGGCGUAGUCGAUGGGAAACAGGUUAAUAUUCCUGUACUUGGUGUUACUGCGAAGGGGGGACGGAGAAGGCUAUGUUGGCCGGGCGACGGUUGUCCCGGUUUAAGCGUGUAGGCUGGUUUUCCAGGCAAAUCCGGAAAACCAAGGCUGAGGCGUGAUGACGAGGCACUACGGUGCUGAAGCGACAAAUGCCCUGCUUCCAGGAAAAGCCUCUAAGCAUCAGGUAACAUCAAAUCGUACCCCAAACCGACACAGGUGGUCAGGUAGAGAAUACCAAGGCGCUUGAGAGAACUCGGGUGAAGGAACUAGGCAAAAUGGUGCCGUAACUUCGGGAGAAGGCACGCUGAUAUGUAGGUGAAGCGACUUGCUCGUGGAGCUGAAAUCAGUCGAAGAUACCAGCUGGCUGCAACUGUUUAUUAAAAACACAGCACUGUGCAAACACGAAAGUGGACGUAUACGGUGUGACGCCUGCCCGGUGCCGGAAGGUUAAUUGAUGGGGUUAGCGGUAACGCGAAGCUCUUGAUCGAAGCCCCGGUAAACGGCGGCCGUAACUAUAACGGUCCUAAGGUAGCGAAAUUCCUUGUCGGGUAAGUUCCGACCUGCACGAAUGGCGUAAUGAUGGCCAGGCUGUCUCCACCCGAGACUCAGUGAAAUUGAACUCGCUGUGAAGAUGCAGUGUACCCGCGGCAAGACGGAAAGACCCCGUGAACCUUUACUAUAGCUUGACACUGAACAUUGAGCCUUGAUGUGUAGGAUAGGUGGGAGGCUUUGAAGUGUGGACGCCAGUCUGCAUGGAGCCGACCUUGAAAUACCACCCUUUAAUGUUUGAUGUUCUAACGUUGGCCCGUAAUCCGGGUUGCGGACAGUGUCUGGUGGGUAGUUUGACUGGGGCGGUCUCCUCCUAAAGAGUAACGGAGGAGCACGAAGGUUGGCUAAUCCUGGUCGGACAUCAGGAGGUUAGUGCAAUGGCAUAAGCCAGCUUGACUGCGAGCGUGACGGCGCGAGCAGGUGCGAAAGCAGGUCAUAGUGAUCCGGUGGUUCUGAAUGGAAGGGCCAUCGCUCAACGGAUAAAAGGUACUCCGGGGAUAACAGGCUGAUACCGCCCAAGAGUUCAUAUCGACGGCGGUGUUUGGCACCUCGAUGUCGGCUCAUCACAUCCUGGGGCUGAAGUAGGUCCCAAGGGUAUGGCUGUUCGCCAUUUAAAGUGGUACGCGAGCUGGGUUUAGAACGUCGUGAGACAGUUCGGUCCCUAUCUGCCGUGGGCGCUGGAGAACUGAGGGGGGCUGCUCCUAGUACGAGAGGACCGGAGUGGACGCAUCACUGGUGUUCGGGUUGUCAUGCCAAUGGCACUGCCCGGUAGCUAAAUGCGGAAGAGAUAAGUGCUGAAAGCAUCUAAGCACGAAACUUGCCCCGAGAUGAGUUCUCCCUGACUCCUUGAGAGUCCUGAAGGAACGUUGAAGACGACGACGUUGAUAGGCCGGGUGUGUAAGCGCAGCGAUGCGUUGAGCUAACCGGUACUAAUGAACCGUGAGG
rnacentral:rRNA from 1 species